rnacentral:rRNA from 1 species
GUCAACGCCUGUUGGCUGUGAUGGAUACACUCGUUCCCGUGAGAUCACGAAAGUUAAGCAUCACAGGUUGCGGGGCGGUCUGGGAUGGGUGUCGCUCCGUAACGGCGUUGACA